AAAAGCUAAAAUAAAAAUCUGAAACCUACCCUAAUUCAUUGCCUAUAAAGGCAUGCUAUUAUUGCCUUGCAAGGAGAGUUUUUUGGAAGCUUAGAGAGUCUAAAUUUAGAGAGGCUGCAGAUUUCUUAUGAGUUUGGGAGAAUCUGAAAUUUGAAGAGCCUAGAAUAGAGGGAGAUUUUUAGGAACUUCAGAGAUUUUCUUCAGAAAACACUGUUCCAUUGACCCUUGCUAUUGAAUUCUGAAGUUAAAACAACAUUUGGGUAGCUGAUAGUUGAAACAAAUUGAAAUCAAGUCUAUUUUUGUUUUUUUGGUUCAUAACUGAUUCAAAGGUAUUAAUCACAGCCCCUCCAUGAUAUAGCUCUCAAUUUGGAAUAAAAUAUAGACUAUACAGAUGUGAUUUUGUUUUUGUGAAGUCAAUUAGUUUUUCUUUAGUUAAAUCUUAGUAUUGUAUUAAACUAUGGACUUUUGAACUCUAUUAAUUUUAGUUUAGCUCUCGUAGGGUAGAUUAGUUGUUCAACUCACGUCAGUUUGAGUAUAAAAACGAGCCUGGAGUUUAGCAGGCUCUAUCAAAGUCUAUUGUGUUUAAAUUAUUGGGUGAAAUGGUUCUUUGAUUUAA